AGCUUUUCAGAUCCGUGCUGAGAUUUCAUCAGAUACCAACCGAUUAAAACUGAUCAGACUUCCAAGAUAGGUGAAGUU
rnacentral:pre_miRNA from 1 species